UACGGGGGGGGCAAGCGUUGUUCGGAAUUACUGGGCGUAAAGGGCUCGUAGGCGGCCAACUAAGUCAGACGUGAAAUCCCUCGGCUUAACCGGGGAACUGCGUCUGAUACUGGAUGGCUUGAGUGUGGGAGAGGGAUGCGGAAUUCCAGGUGUAGCGGUGAAAUGCGUAGAUAUCUGGAGGAGCACCGGUGGCGAAGGCGGCAUCCUGGACCAUUACUGACGCUGAGUGAGCGAAAGCCAGGGGAGCAAACGGG
rnacentral:rRNA from 1 species